CAGCAGCCGCGGGAAUACGAAGGGGGCUAGCAUUGUUCGGAUUUACUGGGCGUAAAGCGCACGUAGGCGGAUCGAUCAGUCAGGGGUGAAAUCCCAGAGCUCAACUCUGGAACUGCCUUUGAUACUGUCGAUCUGGAGUAUGGAAGAGGUGAGUGGAAUUCCGAGUGUAGAGGUGAAAUUCGUAGAUAUUCGGAGGAACACCAGUGGCGAAGGCGGCUCACUGGUCCAUUACUGACGCUGAGGUGCGAAAGCGUGGGGAGCAAACAGGAUUAGAUACCCCUGUAGUCCCUGUCUCUUAUAC
rnacentral:rRNA from 1 species